ACACAACCACAACUGCUCUAUCAUUCAUCCUGAUGUCAUUCACGCAAUUAAUCAACACCAAACAUUUAAAUCACUGACAGGGCUUCAACUCAGGUUUCAGCUUCCAGAUAAAGUAUCUUCAUUUGCACAGUACCCAUCCAGCCAGGCUUUCCAACAAAAGCAAUUAUUUCCUUUUUUGUGAAGAAGAUGAUAAAAUCUUUAGCUAGAGACAAAGUAAGAAGGCUAUGUAUAUUAUUCUAAGUACUGGUGGCCGAAAUAUAACAGAUAAUCCUAAAUGUAACGCAGCAUUACAGUGCAUAAUUUACAGCCCAGAGUCUUCAAAAAGCUGUACUUUGAAGUGAUUCCUCUAGGAAUAAACACAGCAUGCCUUAUCGCAACUCGCAGAAUGAAUAAAAACUACGCUGAUGAUCUUAAAUAAAGGAGGAGGCGGCUGAUGUUUCCAAGUAGGGUGGAUGUUAAUUCAGCUCCCGCCGCACACAGAAGUCAUUUUCUGCCAGGAAAGCAUCAACUCGCGUUUACUGUCACGCCUGUCACCUAAACACGAAUGGAUUUUACACGCAGGCCUUCAUUUUAACUCUGUGAGGAGCACCACUGAACCCAACCGAGGUACUCACACGGCUGGAGGAAGAAGGCAAGCAGCAGAUGGCACGAGUAUCGCUCAUCUUGCUUUCAAGAUAUUUAACUUGGGCCAUCCAAUUAAGACAUUAUCAGACAAGACCAUCUGCAGUGUUUCUCUAAGAGGGAAUGCCCAGUAAGGAAGACAGCAGCAAAGGAAAGCAGCAACUUACACAGAAUACUCACAACACAGAAAGAACAGCAAUGCCCAAGGAAACUUUGCAAUCAGAUACUUGUUCAACAAGGACAGUUACCAUCCUAAUGGAUUAGCAGGAAACAGAAAAAAAAGUGGUCUUUGCAAGGAAUUUUGUUUGCAUAUGGCCAGUACUGUCCCCUCUGCUGCCACUGCCCCAAGACAGCUUCAUCAGUGUGUAACACUCAACCCUACAGAAAUACAAAAGCUACACAGACUGCAGUCUCACGUUGACUCAUAGUGGCCUACUUCUCAGGCUGCUCUCUACCUCACUAGUUCUGAGGGUUAAACCGUAUCUGAAAGGUUGGUAUCCUCAUGCUUUUGUCCAGCAGGGCUGUUCUGUGAUAAGCUACAGAAGUUUAAAGAAGGAAACAUGGUAAUACAAAAACAGGUGAGAAACAAGGCAAAAACGAAAAUAGGAACAUAAAGUAGCUACAAUAGUUCAGGACAGUGCAAUAGAAAUAUUUCAGUUAAACUUUUUUUUUUUUAAAAAAAAGGAGAAAUUAAUUCUACUUUUUUCUUUUCCUGCAAAACAUGGAAAACUCUUCCCUGAGUUUACAUCUCUUCAGUUAUAUUUUCAGGGACCAAAACGUUAAAAAAAAAAAAGACCCAAAAAAAUGCAACACACAUCCCUGGAAAUUCCUAGUUCAGUUUCUACUUUAUUUUUUAUCCAAGGUUUCUUGCAGAUUUCUAGAACUAACGCUUUCUACAAAGUUCUCAAUUCCACUCAAGUUCUGUUUAAUGCAGUCACAUGAACAAAAAUGACAGCUCACCAGCAUGGGCUCUUCUCAAAUUAUGAUCUUACUCGAACAAACUCCACGGCCUUCUAAACCCUUUAUUUCAAGUCAAAACAAAACAUUUCCCUUUUUAGGCAUGUAAGUAGUUGCCUGUCUCUCAGUUUAAAGAUUGACUACAUAGUAGACAUGCUCCUCCCUGCCUCUCUCCUAGAAGCUGUUUGACUAUUUUCCCCUGCCCCCUUUUUGGUCAGGAUAGCUGUCAUCUGUCUUGCCUGUGCAAUCCUGCAAUAUGGAGUAGGAGUGGUCUGUCAGCUGUGCUGGUUUCAGGAACAUUGCUUCCGAUUCUGAAUUGGCAUUUUGCAAGACCCUACUUUAACCAUCAUUUUCCAUUAUUAAGCUGUACCAAUUCAACUGAGGCAGCCAAACUUGUCAGCUGUUGUGAGCCCUGCCAUUGUCACCUGCUGAAUUCAAUCAGCACAGAUGAUGAAACCUGGACAACAUGAACUGGUAACUUUAUUAGGGUAUUUAAUCAGUAUACAACCAUACAUACUUCUAAUUUCAGUCCACAAUGCAUCCUGAAGUAAGUUCAAUUUAUGUCACACCAUUGUAGUACUGAGGUACUGGAGCAGACCUCAGCAUUUGUUGUCAAAUACAGAAGAAAGCUCCUAGAUCUAAGUCAACCACACAGCACAACUUAAGGCUGGAACUUACAAACCUUUAGCAGACAACUGAUAAAUUUAAGGAAAUAAUUAUAGACACAACUGAAGCAAGCCCUAGUGAGAAAGAAUCUCAUUAGGUCAACUAAGAUCAACUUCAAGUAUUUAAGCUGUCCUAGCUUUCUUAAUAUUGUACCACCAAUUCUAUAAGGUCUCCAAGGAAUAUGUAGCACUCCUCCCACAAGAAGGCUGUGGCAAGGUCAAACCACAACUCUGUUCACUCAGUAUCCCAACUGUAAUAGUUCCCUAGGGAAGACUAACAUUUUCCCCUCAAUGUCCUUCCAACCAUCCAUGACUUUAAUAAUACUCAAAUUACUGACCACAUAUAUAUAUAUUAAAAAAAAUAACAAAAACAAUAACACAUCCCUUAAUGUAUAUUCUCCCCCCAUUCAUUUCUUCCAGUUGCACCCCAAACCACUCAGGACACACUUGAGCAUCUUUCCACGAUUGCUCUCCAGCUAAUGAAAAAGCUCAACUUUCCAAUAGUUCAGGGAUUUCAAGAAAAAGGAAGAAAACCUGUGUAUCUUGUAUACCUCCAUGUUCAGCACCUGCACUGUCCUCAGCUGAUUUGUCAUCAGAAAAUGGAUUCAAGCCAAAAAAAGUUUCUUCCCCUCUCAACUGACAGGUUCUCCUGCAAGAUUUUAGCUUCACACACACCACCAAUGUGAGUAUAACAUAUGCACGGAAUACAGAGAUUCUGUCAAGCAAAUGAUUUUUUUUUCCUCCAUUUCCUGAUCUUUUGUAGCAGAUACUAUACAGGAAGGCAUUUUACUAGCCAACCUGUUCUUUGUGAUUGUGAAAAUAUGUCAGUUUUUGUGUAUUAGUAACAUUCCCCUUUACCUAUUGGGUAUGUAAAUAUAGGCAUAUGUACCUAUACACCAGACAUACACAGUAAGAAAAAGCAUAGACUAGGGAAAUAAGCAGCUGUGAAGAAAUACCAUUUCCUGAAGUUUGAAGAAAUUAGGAAGGCUCCUGAUUUGUUUUUAACAUUUCGCAGCCCCCUCAAGGAUGAAGAUGUAAACUCAUUAGUAAGUAUAGUUACUUUUUUGCCUCACAUGCUCAGGAAAAGGCUAGCUGUAAUAAAAAAAAAAAGUCUCAACUAUCAGUGGAAUUGUAAACAUCUGCAGCUUCAUUACAUGUCUCCUCUGUUUGGUGGAAUCCACGCUAUAUUUAUUGGAAAACUUAAUUCAGCAAGUCAAAACUAUAUUUUUAUAUUAAACAAUCUUUAUUCUAAAUAAUGUUAUAAAAUAUUUUUAAUUAUUUAUACCUGAAUGGUGGGAUGGAGACCUAUAGGUAAGGGCACAGCAUUAUUAUGUCUUGCAAAGACAAAUUCAAAAUCUGGAAAAGCAUGGUCAUAGAACAAAAACAUAAGAAGUUGUCUGUGCCAAUGUCCAGUAAUUUCCUUGAUUUGGAGAUAACUGAAAGUGACCUUCCAAAGGUGUAUUCAAGUUUAGGAACAGGAUUCCUGAUAUCUACAUAAAAAAAACACUAUCAAGUCCAAAUGAAGAUCCCCUCCAUAGUCUCUCCAACCUUAGACUUGGAAUCCAAGUCACAGCCCAUUGGGUAAACAAUUUCACCAAAAAAUUACAGCAGUCCACAUCUCCUGACACUAAAAAGAAAAAGGGGGGGGGCUUCCCAUCUUGAACACACGUUCAUCAUAGUGUUAUGUAGGUUCUACAGAUGAACACAAAACCUCCCACACAAAGCAGUGGACAAUCAGAUUGCAACACCACAGUUUGGCAUGUGAGGUAAAAGUUAUCAAAUAUUCCAUCAAAAGGAUGUCCACAGAUCAGAAGUAACCAAGUUCAACUACAGAAAAUUAAAUACUAUGAAUGCUAUUCUCACCUUAAGUUUGUCUUCAUGAUGCAUCCAGAAAAGAGUUUUGGAAUACUUACCUCACACUGAGGAAAUGUGUUCUUUUCCCCAAGUCUUAAGAGCUUAAUCCAUCAAUUUACAGCUAAGUACCUGAGUUUUUCUGAUAUCCCUAGACAAAUUAGGUGGGAAGACUGGAACCUCCAAGGGCACAAGGGUUGGAAGCUGCACAUAAGACACCAGUUUGUUGUGAUUUUACUUCAUUAGGCUGCCCAAAUGAAGGAAGUUUCCAGGUCUGAAGAUCUAAUGUACGCUUUGCUAGAAUGUUGUUCAUAAAACAUGGAACUCACCCGGUUACUCAUCUUUGCCAGCACUACCACUGUUAAACACAUUCCCUCCUAGUUCCACGUUGCUGAGAUUUCUGAGCUUCCAGAUGAAUAUAUUUCUGGAUUAUCUGCCACAUUCUUGCAGAUUUGUGUUUGUACACGUGUAAGUGACUUUUGUUGUUAGUACUACAGCAUUCCAUUGCAGGCUAGUACUGGUCCUUAGUCUAAGCUCCCUUAUUUGACCAAGAAUCAUGCUUCAUACUCUGCUAUUUUAGGCAGAAAGCCUCAUUUUACACUAACAUCACAGUGAACUAAAAAACUUCCAAGUGUACUGAUGUUCCUAGACUUUGUUGCAACUGCUGCACUUUCAGAUCUAUUGGCAGACUUAAGAAAAGGAGCAUGAGAACUGUUCACAAAAGGCAAGCGUAGUCCUGAUACUAGAACAGACGGACCUGGUCAAUCAGGGAUGAACAUCUGCAUGGUUACUAUUUCUGAAACUCUCAGAAUAAAGUAAUGCAUUAGCUUCCCAACUGAAAACCAGGAGCACAAAGCCAACAGAUGUUUAUCUCAGUCUCAAUAACAUCAAGAUAGAUCUCUCCUCAGUGAAUGAGAGUAAAGCAGCUAACCACUGUUCUGACAGUGUUCAAGUUGUAUGGGAGACUCAUGCAGUGAUAAAAUACACCAGUUCUAGAGGUUACAGCCAUACUGCACAUGCUUUUCCUCAGCAAGCAAUGUGUGAGCUCACACUGCACAUGCUUGGUAUCACCAAUACAAGGUGGUAUUGCUGCCCUAUGAAGAUGGCACUGCACACCAGCUGCACACCUUUCAUGAACUGUGGCACAGUGAAGACCUGCCAUUAUUUCUCUGAAUACCAGUGGACUUGGACAUCAGGCCAAAAAGGGCACCCACGAACAGGAAAUUCUUGACAACCCAAGUGAGCAGAAGGCUUCAAAAAGUCAUGCUUCCACGCCUGGUCUUAUUGCAAUGGUAAGAACCAUUUAAUCUCAAGGAAUAUUUCUUUCAAAACAGCACCUUGUCACAGUUUGGGAUUGUGAACCAGCACCACUGUCUGGUAGAAGCCGUAACAAAGACCAGUUGUUACAACAACAGCCCUAAGGAUGAUGGAUCAAUCUGGUCCUGUUCUGGGCACAAAGCAAAUCUUAACAGGUUUCCUUCUCACUGCUGCUCGCCAAUAUUAAGAGAACACUGAGAAGUGACAGGUAUUUUAAUUCCCAUCCAGCUUUUAUAGUUUUCUCCUUUCAGCAUGGUAGUGUCCCUUGCUGUAAUCAAAGUAUUUACCAAGAACAGUCCUUUAAAAUCCUUCUCCCCAAGGCUCCCACUCCCUCCCCAAAAGGGCUGUGCACGGAGUCUCUGGCUGGCAGACUAUGCAGCCUCAACAGUACUUUGGUAGCUCUGCUGCACCACCAAGCUUCCAGCAUUUCCUUCUAUCCCUCUUUCAGCAGGCAGGAAAGGAAUACAGAUGUGUAUUUUUAUGCACCUUUGAUCGUCUGUUCUGUUGCAUUUCAUUAAAAUCCUCUAGAUUAGAAGGCAAAUAGCUUUUUACCCAUUUUUUGUUUAGACUGUUUUGAUAAGGACACCUUUGCAUGAACUUUUGUAAAGACAAGGCAGAUUUUCCAAGCCCCUUUCAGGCUAUAGAAGACUCCAUUUAUCACCAACAGAACUUAAGAUGAGUAGUCCAUGUGUUUUAUGAAUAAAGCAUAUCCCUUAAGUUUCUCAAAUGCUA